rnacentral:rRNA from 1 species
GGAUUAGAUACCCUGGUAGUCCACGCUGUAAACGAUGUCGAUUUGGGGGUUGAACUUUAAGUUUGGCGCCCGUAGCUAACGUGAUAAAUCGACCGCCUGGGGAGUACGGCCGCAAGGUUAAAACUCAAAUGAAUUGACGGGGGCCCGCACAAGCGGUGGAGCAUGUGGUUUAAUUCGAUGCAACGCGAAGAACCUUACCUACUCUUGACAUCCAGAGAACUUUCCAGAGAUGGAUUGGUGCCUUCGGGAACUCUGAGACAGGUGCUGCAUGGCUGUCGUCAGCUCGUGCCG